ACGUCUAAAAAAUUUCUAGACAAAAUCAGAAAUUUUGGAUCUUCUGAUGAUGAAACAGAUGAGGGAAUCACUUAACCAGUAAAUGUGAUACUGUUGAUAUUCCAUGAUAUAUGUAGAAAGAAAUUCUACUCUGGAGAAAUAUGCUUGUCUAGUGGGAUAUCUUUGCGGUCUUUUCACAUUUGUUCUUUGCCUGAGAAGCAGCUUUUGAUAUGGAACGGCACUACAAUGCGGUUUUACAAAUGAAUCGGAAUGCCAUUUUUUUU
rnacentral:misc_RNA from 1 species